AGUCGUCCUACAUACACCACACUCCAUUCUAGGAUUCAAAUUAUUCAAAUUUCAAACCACCGUUCAAAUUCUCUCUCUGCGCGCUGUGCCCCUUUUUCUAGGAUUCCAAGCUCCGCUUCGCCGCCGGGAAAUCAAUUUUCUUAUUAAAUCUAUCUCUCCAACAGAGCUGUUUUAAUAUUUUGCUGAGGAAUUGCAGGUGCAACAUUGUAAUAUUUUUUAAAAGAGGACUUAAAGAUUAUUGAGAUUGAGGCAAAUGCCUCUUCAGGCAUGGGUGUUGCAGAUCAGUGCAAAAAUACAUUCUUGGAAUUGCAGUGGAAGAAGGUCCAUAGGUACGUGAUUUUAAUGAUCGCUGAGAAGAAAAAUGAAGUGGUUGUUGAGAAGACUGGUGGGCCUGCUGAAAGCUAUGAUAAUUUCACCUCCACCUUGCCAGAAAAUGAUUGCCGAUACGCUGUCUAUGACUAUGAUUACAUGACCUCUGAGAAGUGUCAAAAGAGCAAGAUAUUAUCAUGGCACGAAGGAAAAAGGACAAUUACUAUGGGAUACAGUGUGCGCCGCACUGAGAUGUAUUGCGUUGUGUUUCACGCAGCCAUAAGCUCUCAUGGCUCCACGGCUAUCAAAAGAUUACAGGAAACUUGCUUCUGUGCUGGUGAAAGCUGGGAUGUCUGAGAAAAAAGGAACUAUUACCAAGGGUGCAACUCUUGGUCAUGAAGAGGGUGCCAAUGAAGUCUACACGUGUUGCACUGCUUGCACGCAUGCUGUUUUCAGUCAAAUUCAGAAUACAAGACAACAAUGUCGAUCUUACUAGCUGGUCAGUGACAACUCCUUCAAGCAAGGAAAGGAGUUGACUAGACUUGGUUUAUGCUCCUGUUCUCUCACAGAAGCAAAUAAACUGAAUAGAUAAUUGUGUGAGGUCUAUAAUUCCUAGGAAGCAUUUGCAUGGUUCAGUGUUACUGCAAUCUCUCUACAGCACUUUCUGAGAACAUAGAGGUGCAUAAUGACAUGUGGAUCUCUGGGUCUUGGCUAAUUGUUUUAUACAUGUGCUCCGCAUUUGAUUGUAAGGCAUCCUUUGAUACUAAUUUGUGUUGAGUGAUAAUGCCCAAGCAGUUCAUCUCUGUAUAGUCAAUUAACUUUCUUAAAUUUGCAUACAGUUUCUUGAUCUGAAAUGGAGCAUCUACUGCCUAAUAUUAGCUUCAUAUUCACAUUAAGCUUCCAUGUUUUUCUUGAUCUGUUAUGUGGUUUCUUAAUCAGAAGCAUAUAAGAAACUUAUCAAAUUUCUAAACCUUGAUUCUCUGAAUUCUUUUGACAUUGAUGAUUAUAUUAUUCUUCCGGUACAAUAAGUUGUCAUGGAGAAAAGGUUGCGAAACUUAGAAACCAUUCAUGGAAUGCAUCAUGGUCAUACAUCAAUAUAUUAUUUGUGUCUGAAAUUAGUAUUACUCGAGGCCUUAUUUUCAUUUCCAAUGUCCGUGUUAUAUUUCACUUUCACUUCUGUGUUAGCUUUCUCAAUUAAUUCUCUUUGCCUUUCCUCUUUUCGUAUCUAUUUUCUGCAACUGACUGUAUAUUGUUUCGU